rnacentral:misc_RNA from 1 species
GAAAAAUGAGCCAUAUCAAUCUAAGGUGUAGAAUUUACAGAAAUCUCUUGCAGCACCGACGAACUUGGCUGGUCUGAAUGUGGUGGCAGGACGAGCCGCUGCAGUGGCUUCAGAAUAUUGGCUAAUUGUGAGAAUGAGGGGCGCAAGUUCGGAUCGGUUUGCCAGCAUUCCCAGAUUAUCCUUGCAACCGUGGGAUCCACUUCCUUGGGUAUUUCGAGUCGUCGAUUCUGGAAACCUACUGCACCAACAACUUGCAUAGGAUUCAUCCCACUCCAAGGCAGUCUCAAUGUAGCAAGUUCCCA